rnacentral:tRNA from 1 species
CCCCGCGUUGCUUAGUGGCUAUAGCGCUCGGCUGUAGACCGGGAUUUCGCCGGCUCGAAUCCGGCCGCGGGGA